rnacentral:lncRNA from 1 species
UAUAUAUACCUUUCUACCCAUUGGGUUUCCCCAGGAUGGCCGCACACUGGACAGUCCGCCUCGUUGAAUCGGAGCUCGUACACGGAGAAGACCAAAAGGUGUCUCAGUCCGCUACAUGAAUGAUGCAGACAAGCACCAAGUUGGCCGCGGCCGCAAGUUGAAUCCACAGGGAGCUCACAGUUGCACUGUUUAACACCCUCGAGUUUAGUUGAUAGUCGAUGGAAGUCCCCGUCCCCGUUUCUGUUCUCCUAAUCGCCGCC